rnacentral:rRNA from 1 species
CACUGGAACUGAGACACGGUCCAGACUCCUACGGGAGGCAGCAGUAGGGAAUCUUCCGCAAUGGGCGAAAGCCUGACGGAGCAACGCCGCGUGAGUGAUGAAGGUCUUCGGAUCGUAAAACUCUGUUAUUAGGGAAGAACAUAUGUGUAAGUAACUGUGCACAUCUUGACGGUACCUAAUCAGAAAGCCACGGCUAACUACGUGCCAGCAGCCGCGGUAAUACGUAGGUGGCAAGCGUUAUCCGGAAUUAUUGGGCGUAAAGCGCGCGUAGGCGGUUUUUUAAGUCUGAUGUGAAAGCCCACGGCUCAACCGUGGAGGGUCAUUGGAAACUGGAAAACUUGAGUGCAGAAGAGGAAAGUGGAAUUCCAUGUGUAGCGGUGAAAUGCGCAGAGAUAUGGAGGAACACCAGUGGCGAAGGCGACUUUCUGGUCUGUAACUGACGCUGAUGUGCGAAAGCGUGGGGAUCAAACAGGAUUAGAUACCCUGGUAGUCCACGCCGUAAACGAUGAGUGCUAAGUGUUAGGG